rnacentral:rRNA from 1 species
UUUCCUUACAUAAAAUAUACCGCGUCUAGGAUCGGCGCGAUGUAUAUAUUGACUUCUCGGACACUUCGAGAGAAUUAAAAGCUUGAGCUCCAGGGGGGAGAAUGGUCAAGGCCGAAACCUAAAAGAAAUUGACGAAGGGCCACAACAGGGGGUGAGAUGCGGCUUAAUUUGACUCAACACGGGGAAACUCACCAGGUCCAGACACAAUGAGGAUUGACAGAUUGAGAGCUCUUUCUUGAUUUUGUGGGUGGUGGUGCAUGGCCGUUCUUAGUAGGUGGAGUGAUUUGUCUGCUUAAUUGCGAUAACGAACGGGACCUUAACCUGCUAAAUAGCCCGUAUCGCUUUGGCAGUACGCUGGCUUCUAGAGGGACUAUCGGCUCAAGCCUAUGGAAGUUUGAGGCAAUAACAGGUCUGUGAUGCCCUUAGAUGUUCUAUCGCGCACGCGCGCUACACUGACGGAGCCAGCGAGUACUUACUUGUCGAAACGGCGCGCGUAAUACGUGUGAGACCACCUG